rnacentral:rRNA from 1 species
UAAGGAAUAUUGGUUAAUGGACGCAAGUCUGAACCAGCCAUGCCGCGUGGAGGAUGAAGGUCCUCUGGAUUGUAAACUUCUUUUAUAGGGGGCGAAACACUCUUUUUUAGAGAGCUUGACGGUACUCUAUGAAUAAGCACCGGCUAACUCCGUGCCAGCAGCCGCGGUAAUACGGAGGGUGCGAGCGUUAUCCGGAUUCACUGGGUUUAAAGGGUGCGUAGGUGGGUUGGUAAGUCUGUGGUGAAAUCUCCGAGCUUAACUCGGAAACUGCCGUGGAUACUAUCAGUCUUGAAUAUUGUGGAGGUUAGCGGAAUAUGUCAUGUAGCGGUGAAAUGCUUAGAUAUGACAUAGAACACCAAUUGCGAAGGCAGCUGGCUACACAUAUAUUGACACUGAGGCACGAAAGCGUGGGGAUCAAACA